UCCCCCGUCGCGCCGCCGCCGCCGCCCGGCUCCAACCCUCAUCGCGCCGCCGCCGCCCGUAUCCCUCCCCCCACAACGCGCCGCCUCCGCCCGUCUCCCUCCGCCAGCGCGCGGCUGCCGUCCGUCUCCCAUUUCCUAGCGCUCAGCACGGUCGGGUCGCGACCUCCGCCUCCAGCGCCGACCCGCUCCUCCCCGUGCGCCAGCCACCUUCCCCUCCUUUGCCACGGCCGCCUUCCUCCCCCGCCGCCACGCCCCCAGCCACCUCCUUCCCUCUCCACCACGCGCCGGCGACGAGCCCGUCCCCCAGCGUCCCCAACCUCCUAUCCCCGCUGCAGUACGAGCUGCAUCAGCAGGGAAGGCCGCUGCUUCAGCAGUAGCAGCGCACCGCUGCGACGCUACAAGGGGAGGCAGAGGUGGGGUGAGGCACUACGACGGUCGCAUUCCGGGGAAGGCUGUCAAAGCUUAAGAAAGCAGAAAAACAGUGAGCCUAGGAGGGGAGUCGCUGGAUCGAGGACCUCUAGCUCGAUAGUCCAACUACAUGCUCCACCGUUGGUCGCUCAAGGAGCUGCGUGCAGGCCACCCCCGAGCUCCGCCCCUGGAUCCGGGUCAACUUUCUCCCUACCAUCUAGGUAAGCUAGCCAGCGACUGAGAGUUAGAGUCAUUCGUCCCCCUGUGUGUGUUUGUGACAGAGAAUUAGGCAUGCUAACAUUAUCAUGUAGUAGCAGCUGGGGGAUGCUUAGUUCAGUUCAAAAACAUUAUCAUGCGAUCAUGGAUGAGAGUGAGAGUCAUCAUGCAUCCAAUUUCUUUUGUUCAAUUCAAAUACUAAAAAAAAGUUCAGUUCAAUUCUUGAUGUCGUCUUCCUGGUUACUUCAAACGUAUUCCUUUCUUUAAUAGUUCUUGCACUUUCCUCCAUUUUCAUGUGACACUUGUUAGAUUGCUCUCAGUAUUUGAUGUAUUUCAUGCAACACUUAUUUGAUUGCUCAAGAGAAGUGUUAUUUAUUAGUGAAUUUUCUUUUAGUGUAGAAGUUCAAUAUGUAUUUAUAUCAACAGUCCGUAAUGAAGUGCAGAAACAGUACAAUCUAUGUGUUAAAACAUAAUAGAUCAGUUCAAUUUAUUAUUUAUGUUCAGUACAAAUCUCAUUCAAGUUCUGUAGUUCAAAACUCAGUAAUGUGGUUCUAUGUAGAAAAAUACUUUUGCCCUGGUGCACUAUUAUGUUUGCAGAAAAAAUUAAGUUCUAUUGUCUGGAGAAUUCAGUCUGGAAUCAUGGAAAAAAGAGCAUGUGUUGAACUAGCUUUUUAUAGUUUGUCCCAAUCUAUUUAAUUUGGCAUCGGUAAAAGAAGAUGCCAUGUCUACAUUGUUGUGUUUGGAGCUGCUCCGCUAUAUUCCUUUAUUGGUUCUACAAGAUAAUUGCUCUAGAUUUCUUUUUCUAAUAUAAUGUUAAAAGUCCACUUGAUGAAAAUUUCUCUAUGUUAGCUAGAUCAGUACUGCUCAGCAGUACGACAAGUAGCAGUACUGAUCAGUACAACUUACACAAUAUUAGUACCGGUCAAUACUAUUCUUAAAUGUUAAAUGUAACAUCCAUAUAGUACUGAUGAGUCGUACUGACAAGGAUGCCGUCUACAGUUCUGAACUUAUUGUUGAGUGGUACAAGUACUGAUGAAAUGGGAAGCAAGUGUCACAUGAAUCCUUAAUUGAAUAGGAAGCAAGGUGACCCUGGAAAAACACUAUUUAUUUUAUUCCCGGUUAUUAGAAAAGCAUGGAAACAAUUCUCUCUGUGUUAGAGUAUCAGUUCAUGUGGAGAAGAACAUGUUUCCUAUAUGGACAACUAAUAUAUUAUUAUCGGUUCAAUGUGUAUUUUUUCAUUAGUUCAUACAGAACAACCAUAAAAAAUAUUUUGAUGUGUGUUAGAGAGAGCUCGACUUUAUAUUAUAUGGUAGCUCACUCAUUGCACAAUUGCACAGCAGUUUGGCAAGAAAAUUCACAUCAGUUCAGGGACGCCCGCAUCACGGCCUCACUGUGCCACCGCAAUCUCUCCUUGAAACGCCACCGGACGAGCCCCUCCUCACACUUUGCAAGCUGUCACUUCUUGGUCCUGUGCCUGGAUCCUGUGUGAGGACUGCUUAGAUCUUGGUUGGGCGAAGGCCAUGUAGGUUGCAAAUUGCUCUUCUGGUGGAAUUAGUUAUGUUGGGGGUGUGGCUAGGCCGACCGCUUCAGAUUUGUUUUGUGUUAGCUAGAUUCUAAGCUAGAACGGUCUGAUUUAAGCAAUUGGAAUUUGAAUAAUCAAGUUGCCAUCUGCCCUACUGUCACAAAGAAUCUAUUUCUUACCAAUGAUGUACUUCUUUUGCAGUUGUCGUUGUAGUUGUACAAUAGUUCCGUCUCAUAGUGCUCUUAGUUGUGCACUUAAAUGAUCCCACAAUAUGGCAUUAUCUUUGAGAACAGGGUUCAUCAAUAGUUCAGAGUUGUGAAUAGGAGGGUGUGCCUGUACCUGGUGGGAUUGCUUAUGAUUCUGAUGUGCUUACCGGUUUGGCCUAUUUGUAGUUGUGUAGUUUGCAAUUUGUUUUUCUGGUGGCAGCCAGCCACCAUGGUUGAUGGCAGCCGUCCAAGUUGAGCACUGAUGGUAGUCCUCUGUGUGCGUUAAUGGCACUCUCUCACAGCAAUCUCUCUCUCUUUCUUUGCUCCUGCCAUUAAAAUGCAUAGAUGUGGUAUUCUGCUAACUGAGUAGCUGGGAAGAUGUGAAAAGAACAUGCUCUUUAGGUGUUUGUGUGCGUCAAUUGGAAUUAAAAUGCAUAAAUGUUGUUUUCAUACUUUCAACAAAAAAUAUCUAUAAGUUCAAAAUGUAUAACCCUAUAAGUUCAUUGAAAAACAGAAAAAAAAAAAAAGUGCAUGAGCAAGUAGUCGCCUCGCACUGGAUCGAUGCUCCGUUGUCACUCCCCCGCCGCAUAUAAGCAGUUCAACGCUGCAAUCCCCGGCCGUUCAGUCUCGCUGCCGUGGGCGUGCCCCGCUCCAACUCCAUCGCAUGUGCUUCAGUGGAGAAAUAGUGCAACCUGAGGAACCGCUAGGGGUCGAGGACGUCCAGCUUGGCAGUCCAAUUUGGCGUUAUUCACGUCAUUGCUAGCCCCAUGUUCGCUGGCAAGACCACCGCGCUUCUCGCCGGCACCGACAGGAUUUUGCAGGGUCUUUGGGUUAGAAGUGGUUAAUUUGUUAGCCCCUGGAGCUUGUCGGCGAGCCAUGUGCUGGGCCAACCACAAGGCAACGCCACCAGGUAGGGCGCCAGACGGCUGCCGAGCGUGGCAUGAGCCUUUCCGACCCCAUUUCCAGGUUAAGCGCCAAAGAUCUCAUCGUCGGGUGCGCAAAAGCACUAGCACCUCUGCUUCCAUUUUUCUUCAAAAGUUAUGCUAACCAAUUAGCCACUGAUAAGAUGACUUUACUUCCAACUAGCCACUCAAAAGUUGUGGCCAUUUAAUGACACCUUCUACAUUUGAGACAUGUGAAACUGUAACCUUCCAAUGUUACCGUUUGGUAGCUCGGGAUGCUUUAUGUUUUGGAGAUCUACAGAGUGACUAUCUGAGAGUGUGUUAGACUUUCUCAUUACAGCAUGGAACUUUAUUUUUAAUGUUUGUUCCUCAUCAGUUCUAAAAAUCUCAGAGCAUCCGUCCAACUAUGUAUCAGGAUAUACUAUGUUGUAAAUUUAUGUAUGCUUGUAUGUGCAAAAAUAUAUUACGGUUGCUGCUUC